rnacentral:rRNA from 1 species
GAUGAACGCUGGCGGCGUGCCUAAUACAUGCAAGUCGAGCGAACGGACGAGAAGCUUGCUUCUCUGAUGUUAGCGGCGGACGGGUGAGUAACACGUGGAUAACCUACCUAUAAGACUGGGAUAACUUCGGGAAACCGGAGCUAAUACCGGAUAAUAUUUUGAACCGCAUGGUUCAAAAGUGAAAGACGGUAUUGCUGUCACUUAUAGAUGGAUCCGCGCUGCAUUAGCUAGUUGGUAAGGUAACGGCUUACCAAGGCAACGAUGCAUAGCCGACCUGAGAGGGUGAUCGGCCACACUGGAACUGAGACACGGUACCGACUCCUACGGGAGGCAGCAGUAGGGGAUCUUCCGCAAUGGGCGAAAGCCUGACGGAGCAACGCCGCGUGAGUGAUGAAGGUCUUCGGAUCGUAAAACUCUGUUAUUAGGGAAGAACAUAUGUGUAAGUAACUGUGCACAUCUUGACGGUACCUAAUCAGAAAGCCACGGCUAACUACGUG